rnacentral:lncRNA from 1 species
UUGAGUCUCUCGAGACUCACCUAUAUCGCGAUUCGCUAUCUUGCUUACGACAUAGAGAUGUCACCGGUGACAUGAGGGCAUGGUAUGCUUGGUCGAGUCCCUCGAGGGUAUCAUCAAAUCAGACUCAUCUUGUAACGAAGGUGUUGACUUAACCGAGCAUCAUGGUUGGUCGAGUCCCUCGAGGCCAUGGUGAUUCGGAGGCCGAACAGGACGGGAAUCACAAGGAGUUGUGAUCGGCAAGAGUUGCCUACCUUUUAGGCUUAGUGUGAUUGGUCGAGUCCCUCGAGGUUACACUAAGACGCUGAUUGGAUCCUGAUCCCUACUAGAAGUCUACCGGAGACUUCCGUUU